CCGUCCCUGCGCUGUUGGUGAUGCCGGAGGGAAGUUUCAACCUCAUUCACCCAACGGGAGCCGUACGCGAGAGUGGUGUGCAAGCCCCUCGUUGAAGGGGAAGCCUGAAGCUCUCCAAUCAACGGCACCCACCUGGUUAAGCCAGGUUCGAAACACUUUCGGCACACGGCAGAGGUGGGGACCUU
rnacentral:other from 1 species